AUGAACGCUAGCGACAGGCCUAACACAUGCAAGUCGAGGGGCAGCACAAGGAGCAAUCUGAGGUGGCGACCGGCGCACGGGUGAGUAACACGUAUGCAGCCUGCCUGUAAGCGGGGAAUAACCCGUUGAAAGACGGACUAAUACCGCAUAAUACUAAAUUACUGCAUGGUAAUUUAUUUAAACAUUUAUGGCUUACAGAUGGGCAUGCGCAUGAUUAGCUAGUUGGAGAGGUAACGGCUCCCCAAGGCAACGAUCAUUAGGGGUUCUGAGAGGAAGGUCCCCCCACACUGGUACUGAGACACGGACCAGACUCCUACGGGAGGCAGCAGUGAGGAAUAUUGGUCAAUGGACGAGAGUCUGAACCAGCCAAGUCGCGUGCAGGAAGAAUUGUCCUAUGGAUUGUAAACUGCUUUUGCAGGGGAAUAAAGUGCAUCACGUGUGAUGUUUUGUAUGUACUCUGCGAAUAAGGAUCGGCUAACUCCGUGCCAGCCGCCGC
rnacentral:rRNA from 1 species